rnacentral:lncRNA from 1 species
GUGUGACCCGUCUGGUGUAGUCCUGGAACAAGGGUUUUGCUGCGGAGGGAAACGGCCAGAGACCUCGAUCUAAGACCGGGGUUUGGAGACUGGCGGGCCUCGGAACAGCAGAGCUAGCGGACUUCCGGUCUGGCCCUCUGCUCACGGCCGAGGGCAAGGCGGGUUAGGUCACUUGCUGAGGAAAGAGCUCAAUAUGUCACGUGUUCCUCUCCCAAUGACGUGGACCUCAGUUCCCUCUCCAGUGAAGUGGGCACAGUGUUGCCCGAAAAAGGGUGUGGCGGG